UACCUCUCAAGGUCGCACCUGGAGAGAUUCCAGUACUCUACCAGUCUCGACUAUGGGAGGGAGAGUCAAGCAGAGGCCUACCCUUCCAUUCUUAGCUUGACCAGUGGCUAGUGAGUGGAAAGCAAUUUGUUACAAGU
rnacentral:snoRNA from 2 species